rnacentral:rRNA from 1 species
AUACGGAGGGUGCAAGCGUUACUCGGAAUCACUGGGCGUAAAGCGCGCGCAGGCGGUCUUUUAAGUUGGAUGUGAAAGCCUACGGCUCAACCGCAGAACUGCAUCCAAAACUAUUAGACUAGAGUGUGGGAGAGGAAGAUGGAAUUAGUUGUGUAGGGGUAAAAUCCGUAGAGAUAACUAGGAAUACCAAAAGCGAAGGCAAUCUUCUGGAACACUACUGACGCUGAGGCGCGAAAGCGUGGGGAGCAAACAGGAUUAGAAACCCUAGUAGUCC